rnacentral:rRNA from 1 species
UGGGGAAUAUUGCACAAUGGGCGCAAGCCUGAUGCAGCCAUGCCGCGUGUGUGAAGAAGGCCUUCGGGUUGUAAAGCACUUUCAGCGGGGAGGAAGGCGUUAAGGUUAAUAACCUUGGCGAUUGACGUUACCCGCAGAAGAAGCACCGGCUAACUCCGUGCCAGCAGCCGCGGUAAUACGGAGGGUGCAAGCGUUAAUCGGAAUUACUGGGCGUAAAGCGCACGCAGGCGGUUUGUUAAGUCAGAUGUGAAAUCCCGGGCUCAACCUGGGAACUGCAUCUGAUACUGGCAAGCUUGAGUCUCGUAGAGGGGGGUAGAAUUCCAGGUGUAGCGGUGAAAUGCGUAGAGAUCUGGAGGAAUACCGGUGGCGAAGGCGGCCCCCUGGACGAAGACUGACGCUCAGGUGCGAAAGCGUGGGGAGCAAACAGG